GCGGCCAUAGCUCAAUUGGAUAGAGCGCCUGACUGUGGCUCAGGUAGAUGCCAGUUCGAAUCUGGUUGGUCGCC
rnacentral:tRNA from 1 species